rnacentral:rRNA from 1 species
GACGAACGCUGGCGGCGUGCUUAACACAUGCAAGUCGAACGAAGUGGCGAACGGGUGAGUAACGCGUAAUCAACCUGCCAUUCAGAGGGGGACAACAGUUGGAAACGACUGCUAAUAACGCAUACUGAAGGAGGGGAUUGUGUCUGAUUAGGUAGUUGUAGGGGUAACGGCCCACCAAGGCGAUGAUCAGUUGCCGGUCUUGGAGGAGGAACGGCCACAAUGGGACUGAGACAAGGCCCAGAAUCCUACGGGAGGCAGCAGUGGGGAAUCUUCCGCAAUGGACGAAAGUCUGAAGGAGCAACGCCGCGUGAGUGAUGACGGGCUUCGGGUUGUAAAGCUCUGUUAAUCGGGACGCGGUACCGGAAUAGAAAGCCACGGCUAACUACGUGCCAGCAGCCGCGGUAAUUC